rnacentral:rRNA from 1 species
GACGAACGCUGGCGGCGUGCCUAAUACAUGCAAGUAGGACGCAGUUGCGAACGGGUGAGUAACGCGUAGGUAACUGCCUAUUAGAGGGGGAUAACUAUUGGAAACGCUAGCUAAUACCGCAUAAUAGUAGAUGGACCUGCGUUGUAUUAGCUAGUAGGUGAGGUAAUGGCCUACCUAGGCGACGAUACAUAGCCGACCUGAGAGGGUGAGAGGCCACACGUGGACUGAGACACGGCCCAGACUCCUACGGGAGGCAGCAGUAGGGAAUCUUCGGCAAUGGGGGAACCCUGACCGAGCAACGACGCGUGAGUGAAGAAGUUUUUCGGAUCGUAAAGCUCUGUUGUUAAGGAAGCGGUACUUAACCAGAAAGGGACGGCUAACUACGUGCCAGCAGCCGCGGUAAUAC